AGUGCCAAAUUUUCCCAAGACAGCCUUCAAAUCUUCACGCAAUACAACAUUCAUGUCGUCCCUAUAGGCAUCAGCUUUGGAUUUCCCCUCUUUUUCCUUGUCCUUUCCAGUGGGAUCUUCAGCAGACUUCUCCCCUUCUUCCACUUGUAUUUCUUUACUUUCAGAGCCAAUUUCUUCAUUGGCCUUUUCUUCCUUUCCCUCCUCAACAUUCAUCUCAUUAUUUUCUUUAUCAUCAGAGACAUUCUCUGACUCCUUCUGUUCAUUUUCUUGAGCAUCGUUCUCUGAGGAUUUUAAUCCUCCGUCAGCUUUACAGACCUUUGAAUCAACACUGACAGGCUCUUGAGCACCAUCGCCUUCCACAGAAUCUCCAGCUGACAAGCCCUUUAAAGCAAAU
rnacentral:misc_RNA from 1 species